CAUAUCAAUAAGCGGAGGAAAAGAAACCAACAGGGAUUGCCUCAGUAACGGCGAGUGAAGCGGCAAAAGCUCAAGUUUGAAACCCUCGGGAUUGUAAUUUGAAGAUUUGGCAUUGGAGAAAGCUAACCCAAGUUACUUGGAAUAGUACGUCAUAGAGGGUGACAACCCCGUCUGGCUAACCGUUCUCCAUGUAUUGCCUUAUCAAAGAGUCGAGUUGUUUGGGAAUGCAGCUCAAAGUGGGUGGUAAACUCCAUCUAAAGCUAAAUACUGGUGAGAGACCGAUAGCGAACAAGUACUGUGAAGGAAAGGUGAAAAGAACUUUGAAAAGAGAGUGAAAUAGUAUGUGAAAUUGUUGAUAGGGAAGGAAAUGAGCGGAGAGUGGUUGAGGUUUCAGCCUCCCUUUGGGGUGGUGUAUUGCCGACGCCGAGUCAUUGUCCGCGAGACGAGAAAAACAAACGGGUUGCAUUCAUGCUUCUCACCUUUUUCUCCCACUGCAGUCAACGACAUAAUCCGCCCAUUUCACCCGUCUUGAAACACGGACCAAGGAGUCUAAUGGAUAUGUGAGUGUUAGGGUGCUAAACCCCAGCGCGCAAUGAAAGUGAAUGAUUCGUUCAGAAUCGACCGAACUUGAUUUUUAUGACAGUUUUGAGUAAACACAUCCAUUGGGACCCGAAAGAUGGUGAACUAUGCCUGAAUAGGGUGAAGUCAGAGGAAACUCUGAUGGAGGCUCGUAGCGGUUCUGACGUGCAAAUCGAUCGUAGAAUUUGGGUAUAGGGGCGAAAGACUAAUCGAACCAUCUAGUAGCUGGUUCCUGC
rnacentral:rRNA from 1 species